AAUAUAAUCAAAACUACUACUCAUUUAUUUCGGUUCUUAUUUGCUGACAGAGCAGUAAUGCGUCAACAUACUUGAAAUUUUGUACAGUCAUUUGCUUGAAAUUCACAAGCACAAAAAGAAGGAGCUACAUUGGCACAAACCGCUUUAGAAUUCUUUCCACACAAUUUCUUGCAUGUUGGCAAACAAGCAGCGGGGUUUCCAAGUGGGCAGGGCAGAUCUGAUAGUACUUUAUAGCAUGUUGCACCAUUGGCCAUCGGAAUUAUCAACUCACCUGCAAAAUAUAACAAUAUCAUAAGUUUGCUAUCAUGGCAAGACUCGAGGAAGAAGUCCCGACCAAUUCACUUGAGUAGUAGAAGGACGCCGAAAGUCCCUAAAA
rnacentral:lncRNA from 1 species